rnacentral:tRNA from 1 species
AGGGCUGUAGUUUAAAGUAAAAUAACAAGUUGCAAGCUUGACGUCAGGAAGGCCUCCUCAGCUCCG